rnacentral:lncRNA from 1 species
GGAGAGCUGCUCGUCUGCCGUGGUGGUGGCCUUCUGCUGCUGCUUCUUCGGUGAGGCUGCGGCUGACGUCUCCUUGGACGUCGUCGGACGGGUUCUGCGGAAGAAAACAACGCACGAACGAUGGCUGGUGAUACGGCGAUGGCGAGGAGGAGAGGUGUUCCACCGAUGACGACAAUUUCGCCGUCGACCGCGGAGACGUCGAAAGCGACCGCACCGUGACGUUAGGCGCCACCGUCGCCUCCAUUUUAUUAUUUCGUUUCGCUCUCCUCCAUUUUGUUUUCUUUCUCGUGUACGCCUACGUGUUACGGUCGUCUGCUCGCCGCAGCCGCGCGGCGUCGUCUGCUCUUCUUCUGCCGCUGCAAACGUGGGUGUUUGGUGUAUAAGUGUAUGCGUGAUUCUUUCAUCGACUUCGUGGUGACGCGAGUGCGGAUUAUUUACCGUCCGGCGGUGAUUUUGGUGACUACGUUUUGUUUUCGUGACUGCACAUCGCUGCCACCGUGGUUCGUAACCGCUGGAAAAAGAAAAAAAGAAGAACCCGGAUAACGGACCGCUAAAGGACGUGACGAAA